rnacentral:rRNA from 1 species
UACGAAGGGGGCUAGCGUUGUUCGGAAUUGCUGGGCGUAAAGCGCACGUAGGCGGAUAUUUAAGUCAGGGGUGAAAUCCCGCAGCUCAACUGCGGAACUGCCUUUGAUACUGGGUAUCUUGAGUAUGGAAGAGGUUAGUGGAAUUGCGAGUGUAGAAGUGAAAUUCGUAGAUAUUCGCAGGAACACCAGUGGCGAAGGCGGCUAACUGGUCCAUAACUGACGCUGAGGUGCGAAAGCGUGGGGAGCAAACAGG